rnacentral:tRNA from 1 species
UAGGGUCAGCUAAAUAAGCUAUCGGGCCCAUACCCCGAAAACGUUGGUCAAACCCCUCCCCUACUAAU